rnacentral:rRNA from 1 species
CCCAUGUCAUUUAUUUGAAAAGGGGGCAAUUGCUCCCCCUACAAGAUGGACCUGCGUUGUAUUAGCUAGUAGGUGAGGUAACGGCUCACCUAGGCGACGAUACAUAGCCGACCUGAGAGGGUGAUCGGCCACACUGGGACUGAGACACGGCCCAGACUCCCUACGGGAGGCAGCAGUAGGGAAUCUUCGGCAAUGGGGGCAACCCUGACCGAGCAACGCCGCGUGAGUGAAGAAGGUUUUCGGAUCGUAAAGCUCUGUUGUAAGUCAAGAACGAGUGUGAGAGUGGAAAAUGUUCACACUGUGACCGGUAGCUCCCAGA